AGAGAAACUAUCAGCUCCAGCAACAAAAAAUUGUAUAACAAUUCCAAAAGACAAUGCGCCAUUGAUACCAGCUUAUCUAGUAGGAAAAAGUUUCCAUAAAAAACACUUGCAACACAAAAAAUGCGAAGAAAAAAAGCAAAAUCUUAAAUCAUCCUUCAAUGAUACUGAUCGCCCUAACUUGAAAAGUAAUUCAUCUGAGGAACAUGAAGAUGUCACAAAAAGCGUGUCCACUUCUGAAAUAAAAGAAACUCCGGAAGAAAUAAUAAGUAAAUUAAAAAGCAAAAAAUGUGAAUUAACAAAGCAACUUCUAAAGAUUUCCUCUAACACUGCUGUACGACCACAUUUGAAAAGAAAUUUAUCCGAGAAAGAUGAGAAAGUCAUUAAAAAGUCAAAAAUAAAUUCUGGAGUUUCGGUGCCAAGCACGCAAAAUAACAAUAACUUGCCUGCAGUGUCC